rnacentral:rRNA from 1 species
AUUGAACGCUGGCGGCAUGCUUUACACAUGCAAGUCGAACGGUAACAGGCCGCAAGGUGCUGACGAGUGGCGAACGGGUGAGUAAUGCAUCGGAACGUGCCCAGUCGUGGGGGAUAACGCAGCGAAAGCUGCGCUAAUACCGCAUACGAUCUAUGGAUGAAAGCGGGGGACCGUAAGGCCUCGCGCGAUUGGAGCGGCCGAUGUCAGAUUAGGUAGUUGGUGGGGUAAAGGCUCACCAAGCCAACGAUCUGUAGCUGGUCUGAGAGGACGACCAGCCACACUGGGACUGAGACACGGCCCAGACUCCUACGGGAGGCAGCAGUGGGGAAUUUUGGACAAUGGGCGCAAGCCUGAUCCAGCAAUGCCGCGUGCAGGAAGAAGGCCUUCGGGUUGUAAACUGCUUUUGUACGGAACGAAACGGUCCUGGUUAAUACCCGGGGCUAAUGACGGUACCGUAAGAAUAAGCACCGGCUAACUACGUGCCAGCCGCCGCCGUAA